rnacentral:tRNA from 1 species
GUUAACGUAGCAAAUCCAGGCAUUGCAAAAGACCUAAACCCUUUCCACAGAGGUUCAAAUCCUCUCGUUAACU